rnacentral:rRNA from 1 species
AGCAUAUCAAUAAGCGGAGGAAAAGAAACUAACAAGGAUUCCCUUAGUAGCGGCGAGCGAACAGGGAUUAGCCCAGGACCGAAUCCUGCAACGCAAGUUGUUUGGAAAUGUGGUCUUUGGUUCAGUGCCUACGGCGUAUAGGAGGUGUUCAAAGUCCACGUGAUUGUGGCACCAAGCCCAGAGAGGGUGUAAGGCCCGUAUGAACACUACUAUGCGUCCAGGCGCUGUUCCUAGAGUAGGGUUGUUUGGGAAUGCAGCCCGAAUCGGGUGGUAAACUCCAUCCAAGGCUAAAUACAACACGAGUCCGAUAGUAAACAAGUACCAUGAGGGAAAGUUGAAAAGAACUUUGAAGAGAGAGUUCAACAGUACGUGAAACCGGUGGCGCUUAAUCGGACGAAACCGAAGGGGUGCAUGUGAAGUUGGACUUCAUUGAAAAUUGGCAUUUUCGUUGAGAUGGUUUACCACUCUCGGUUUUGUCGGUUCCAGUGUUGGCCUAUUUCAUGUGUACGACACCAUGAUCGGUAGCUAAACUGACCUGUCAUCAGGAAGAAGGUAGCUUGAUUUAUCAAGUAUUAUAGCCUCUUGGUAUAGCGUCAGUCGAGUACCGUGUGACACUGUGGUGCAUUCAAGGCUUUGCUUAUUGUAGAGUAGCUUUGGCAUAUCUUAAUAUAUGCUUUAGCUUUCUUUGUAAUUGGCGCGGUCCUCUGUGUGAAUCACUAAAUUAUGGUGCAUUAGGCAAUUCGUCUGACCCGUCUUGAAACACGGACCAAGGAGUUUAGCAUGUGCGCAAGUCAUGGGGUUAUACGAAACCUAAAGGCGCAGUGAAAGUAAAGAUCUGUACUUUUACAGAUUGAGGUACGAUCCUGGUUUCAUUGUGUGGAAACAUACAUUGACUAGGCGCAGUACCAGCUCGCCCCAUGCUUUAUUAAGUGGGGCGACGCAAGAGCGCACAUGCUGAGACCCGAAAGAUGGUGAACUAUGCUUGCGUAGGUUGAAGCCAGAGGAAACUCUGGUGGAGGACCGUAGCGAUUCUGACGUGCAAAUCGAUCGUCAAACGUGAGUAUAGGGGCGAAAGACUAAUCGAACCAUCUAGUAGCUGGUUCCCUCCGAAGUUUCCCUCAGGAUAGCUGGCACUCGAGAAACAAACAGUUUUAUCCGGUAAAGCGAAUGAUUAGCAGUAUUGGGGAUGAAAUAUUCUCAACUGAUUCUCAAACUUUAAAUGGGUGAGAAGUUCAACUCUCUUAAAUUUGGAGUUGGGCAUUGAAUGUGAGUGCCUAGUGGGCCAUUUUUGGUAAGCAGAACUGGCGCUGUGGGAUGAACCAAACGUCUGGUUAAGGAGCCUAACAUAACGCUCAUCAGAAACCACAAAAGGUGUUGGUUGAUUUUGACAGCAGGACGGUGGCCAUGGAAGUCGGAAUCCGCUAAGGAGUGUGUAACAACUCACCUGCCGAAUCAACCAGCCCUGAAAAUGGAUGGCGCUGGAGCGUUGGUCCUAUACCAGACCGUUACCGCGAAGUCUAAUUGUAUGCGGUAACGAGUAGGAGGGCGCCGUGGUGAGCAUUGAAGCCUGGGACGUAAGUCCGGGUGGAGCCGCCACGGGUGCAGAUCUUGGUGGUAGUAGCAAAUAUUCAAGUGAGAACCUUGAA